AACGAACGCUGGCGGCGUGCCUAACACAUGCAAGUCGAACGUGAUUAGAGAGCUUGCUCUCUAUGAAAGUGGCGCACGGGUGAGUAACGCGUAGAUAAUCUACCUGAUGAUUCGGGAUAACACUUCGAAAGGGGCGCUAAUACCGGAUAAGCCCACGGAGUCCUUGGACUCUGCGGGAAAAGGGGGGGACCUUCGGGCCUUCCGUCAUCAGAUGAGUCUGCGUACCAUUAGCUAGUUGGUAGGGUAAAGGCCUACCAAGGCGACGAUGGUUAGCUGGUCUGGGAGGAUGAUCAGCCACACUGGAACUGAGACACGGUCCAGACUCCUACGGGAGGCAGCAGUGGGGAAUUUUGCGCAAUGGGGGAAACCCUGACGCAGCAACGCCGCGUGAGUGAUGAAGGCCCUUGGGUCGUAAAGCUCUGACAGAGGGAAAGAAAUGUAGAGUGGCUAAUAUCCACAUUACUUGACGGUACCCUCAAAGGAAGCACCGGCUAACUCCGUGCCAGCAGCCGCGGUAAUACGGGGGGUGCAAGCGUUGUUCGGAUUUAUUGGGCGUAAAGCGCGUGUAGGCGGUUUUAUAAGUCUGAUGUGAAAGCCCUGGGCUCAACCCGGGAAGUGCAUUGGAUACUGUAAGACUUGAAUACGGGAGAGGGUAGUGGAAUUCCUAGUGUAGGAGUGAAAUCCGUAGAUAUUAGGAGGAACACCGGUGGCGAAGGCGGCUGCCUGGACCGAUAUUGACGCUG
rnacentral:rRNA from 1 species